rnacentral:rRNA from 1 species
CGGCUGCUCAGUAACACGUGGACAACCUGCCCUCGGGUGGGGGAUAACCCCGGGAAACUGGGGCUAAUCCCCCAUAGGUGAUGGGUGCUGGAAUGCCCCAUCUCCGAAAGCGCUUAGCGCCCGAGGAUGGGUCUGCGGCGGAUUAGGUAGUUGGUGGGGUAACGGCCCACCAAGCCUAAGAUCCGUACGGGCUGUGGGAGCAGGAGCCCGGAGAUGGACCCUGAGACAAGGGUCCAGGCCCUACGGGGCGCAGCAGGCGCGAAACCUCCGCAAUGCGGGAAACCGCGACGGGGUUAGCCGGAGUGCCCGUGCAUUGCACGGGCUGUCGGGGUGCCUAAACAGCACCCCAUAGCAAGGGCCGGGCAAGGCCGGUGGCAGCCGCCGCGGUAAGACCGGCGGCCCGAGUGGCGGCCACUCUUAUUGGGCCUAAAGCGUCCGUAGCCGGCCCAGUAAGUCCCCCGGGAAAUCUGGUCGCUUAACGAUCAGACUUCCGGGGGAUACUGCUGGGCUAGGGACCGGGAGAGGCCGAGGGUAUUCCCGGGGUAGGGGUGAAAUCCUGUAAUCCCGGGAGGACCACCUGUGGCGAAGGCGCUCGGCUGGAACGGGUCCGACGGUGAGGGACGAAGGCCUGGGGAGCGAACCGGAUUAGAUACCCGGGUAGUCCAGGCUGUAAACGAUGCGGGCUAGGUGUCACCGGAGCUACGAGCUCCGGUGGUGCCGGAGGGAAGCCGUUAAGCCCGCCGCCUGGGAAGUACGGCCGCAAGGCUGAAACUUAAAGGAAUUGGCGGGGGAGCAG